rnacentral:rRNA from 1 species
CACGUAGGGUGCGAGCGUUGUCCGGAAUUAUUGGGCGUAAAGAGCUCGUAGGCGGUGUGUCACGUCGGCCGUGAAAACCUGGGGCUUAACUCUGGGCGUGCGGUCGAUACGGGCAUCACUAGAGUUCGGCAGGGGAGACUGGAAUUCCUGGUGUAGCGGUGAAAUGCGCAGAUAUCAGGAGGAACACCGGUGGCGAAGGCGGGUCUCUGGGCCGAUACUGACGCUGAGGAGCGAAAGCGUGGGGAGCGAACAGG